rnacentral:rRNA from 1 species
AUUGAACGCUGGCGGCAGGCCUAACACAUGCAAGUCGAGCGGAUGAAGGGAGCUUGCUCCUGGAUUCAGCGGCGGACGGGUGAGUAAUGCCUAGGAAUCUGCCUGGUAGUGGGGGAUAACGUCCGGAAACGGGCGCUAAUACCGCAUACGUCCUGAGGGAGAAAGUGGGGGAUCUUCGGGCCUCACGCUAUCAGAUGAGCCUAGGUCGGAUUAGCUAGUUGGUGGGGUAAAGGCCUACCAAGGCGACGAUCCGUAACUGGUCUGAGAGGAUGAUCAGUCACACUGGAACUGAGACACGGUCCAGACUCCUACGGGAGGCAGCAGUGGGGAAUAUUGGACAAUGGGCGAAAGCCUGAUCCAGCCAUGCCGCGUGUGUGAAGAAGGUCUUCGGAUUGUAAAGCACUUUAAGUUGGGAGGAAGGGCAGUAAGUUAAUACCUUGCUGUUUUGACAUUACCAACAGAAUAAGCACCGGCUAACUUCGUG